GGGGAAUAUUGGACAAUGGGCGCAAGCCUGAUCCAGCCAUGCCGCGUGAGUGAUGAAGGCCCUAGGGUUGUAAAGCUCUUUCAGUGGGGAAGAUAAUGACGGUACCCACAGAAGAAGCCCCGGCUAACUUCGUGCCAGCAGCCGCGGUAAUACGAAGGGGGCUAGCGUUGUUCGGAAUUACUGGGCGUAAAGCGCGCGUAGGCGGACUUUUUAGUCAGGGGUGAAAUCCCGGGGCUCAACCCCGGAAUGGCCUUUGAUACUGGAAGUCUAGAGUCCGAGAGAGGUGAGUGGAAUUCCGAGUGUAGAGGUGAAAUUCGUAGAUAUUCGGAGGAACACCAGUGGCGAAGGCGGCUCACUGGCUCGGUACUGACGCUGAGGUGCGAAAGCGUGGGGAGCAAAC
rnacentral:rRNA from 1 species